CCGACCUUAGCUCAGUUGGAAGAGCGUCAGACUGUAAUAGGAUACCUGCUAUAUCUGAAUGUCGCCUGUUCGAACCAGGCAGGUCGGA
rnacentral:tRNA from 2 species